UUUAAAUUGAGAGUUUGAUCCUGGCUCAGGAUGAACGCUGGCGGCGUGCUUAACACAUGCAAGUCGAGCGAGGGAGCACCUUCGGGUGUGAACUAGCGGCGGACGGGUGAGUAACACGUGGGCAACCUGCCUUACAGAGGGGGAUAGCCUUCCGAAAGGAAGAUUAAUACCGCAUAUUAUGRUUUUUCUGCAUGGGAAAGUCAUGAAAGGAGCAAUCCGCUGUAAGAUGGGCCCGCGGCGCAUUAGCUAGUUGGUGAGGUAAGGGCUCACCAAGGCGACGAUGCGUAGCCGACCUGAGAGGGUGAUCGGCCACAUUGGGACUGAGACACGGCCCAGACUCCUACGGGAGGCAGCAGUGGGGAAUAUUGCACAAUGGGGGAAACCCUGAUGCAGCAACGCCGCGUGAGUGAUGACGGCCUUCGGGUUGUAAAGCUCUGUCUUCAGGGACGAUAAUGACGGUACCUGAGGAGGAAGCCACGGC
rnacentral:rRNA from 1 species